AUACUUACCUGGCAGGGGAGACACCAUGAUCAAGCAGGUGGUUCACCCAGGGCGAGACUCGGCCAUUGCACUGCGGCAGUGUUGACACCUGCGAAUUCCCCAAAUGUGGGAAUCUCGACUGCACAAUUUCUGGUAGUGGGGACGACUGCGUACGCGCUCUCCCCUG
ensembl:snRNA U1 U1 spliceosomal RNA